rnacentral:rRNA from 1 species
ACUGGGCGUAAAGACGCAUGCAGGCGGCCGCGUUAAGUCAGAUGUGAAAGACCCGGGGCGUUAACCUCGGAAUUGCAUUUGAAACUAGGCAGGCUAGAGUCUUGUAGAGGGGGGUAGGAAGUUUACAGGUGUAGCGGUGAAAUAGCGUAGAGAUCUGAAGGAAUACCAGUGGCGAAGGCGGCCCCCUCGGACAAAGACUGACGCUCAGAUGCGAAAGCGUGGGGAGCAAACAGGAUUAGAUACCCUGGUAG